GGCCGCGCGGCGCGGGCCCUGGCGCGCGCCCGUCCGCCGCGCGUGCGUGGCGGCCGCCGCGUUCACCGGUGUGACGCUGGUCGCAGCCGCC
rnacentral:tRNA from 1 species